AGGCACGUACAGGGGCGGGGCCAGCGCGACCGAGGCCGCCUUUCCAUCCGCAGCAGGUAGCACCGAGCUCGCCCGCCCGGUGCAGCAGUACCAGGCUCCCCGCCUGCCAGCUAGGGUCAGGCUGCGCUGCUCUCAGGCACCUGCCUUUCUCUGCUUUCCGGAUUGCAGCCAAAACGGAAUAAAGGAAAUUACAUAGUAAGCGGAGAUCGGGUGUCUGAGCAGCGUCUUGGAUAAAAUCCACCCAUGACAGGCUACGAAAGAAGAAAGAAAGAGGGAUGAUGAACAACCACCCAACUUCAUGUCUGGCAUCAAGGGUCUCACCGUUAUCCACGGCUAAAGAUUUAUCUGCCUGUGACCUUCAGCUCUGAGUUUAAACGACAGACAUUCUGAAAUAAAUGUUCAAGACAAUGACUACUUCACAUAAAUGAGUAGUAGCUCUCCUAAAAGGAAAACCAGAGCUUUGGAUGAUCCAGGAAGUACUCAAUUUGGCGCAGCAUGACAUGAAGAUAAACUUGUUUCUCGACAGCUUACAAUCUGCUCAGCUAAUUUAACUUACUUUAAUUAACUUGGGUCUUUCAUAUACAUUUCCAUAUUUUAGAAAUAUUAACCAUUUGUCAUAUUAAAUUUAAUUUUUCCAGAACCUAUUUUCUCUCAUUUGUUUCUUUUUCUCUAACUAGGCAGUUCGAGCCCUUUUAAAAAUUAAACCUUUUCCUUGCUUACUUUUGAUGUCAAUGUAUUAAACUGUCACUUGCUUUUGACACACAUUA